AGAGAGUUUAAAUCAUCAUUCAAAGUUCAAGCACACUCUCUUUUUUAACCAAUCUCACUAAUUCCCAACUUUUUCCCUUUUUCCUUUUAAAUUGAGUUCUCUUUACAUGUUUUUUCUCUUUUUUUCUUUUCUUUUCUUUCACAUGCAUUUUUCUUUUUCAUCUUUUGAACUCAAUGCUUUUCUUUUCUUUUGCCUUUCACUUUCCCCAUUCAACCCCAAACUUGAACCUUUUCAACACAUAUAAUUAUUCU
rnacentral:lncRNA from 1 species